CCUCUACCUGGUCAAGUAGUCAUGGCGUCCUCCCUCUACCUGGUCAAGUAGUCCUGGCGUCCUCCCUCUACCUGGUCAAGUAGUCAUGGCGUCCUCCCUCUACCUGGUCAAGUAGUCCUGGCGUCCUCCCUCUACCUGGUCAAGUAGUCCUGGCGUCCUCCCUCUACCUGGUCAAGUAGUCAUGGCGUCCUCCCUCUACCUGGUCAAGUAGUCCUGGCGUCCUCCCUCUACCUGGUCAAGUAGUCAUGGCGUCCUCCCUCUACCUGGUCAAGUGAUCCUGACUGCUACAGUUGGAAACCUCCUACUAGAUCGUCCUCCAGAGCAGUGUGCUGUGCUGCCAUAUUCACUGUGACACUAAGGGGCCUAGUUACAUGGGAGAUGGGUCCAGUGCUGGGACCAGACACUAAGGGGCCUAGUCCUAGUGGGAGAUGGGUCCAGAUACUAAGGGGCCUAGUUACAUGGGAGAUGGGUCCAGUGCUGGGACCAGACACUAAGGGGCCUAGUCCUAGUGGGAGAUGGGUCCAGAUACUAAGGGGCCUAGUUACAUGGGAGGUGGGUCCAGACACUAGACAGUAAAGGUGUAAUAUCCUGUCAACCCCCACCUGUCCUGUGUUUGAGUUCCUUCUACUCCUCUCUGGUCCAUCCAUGACCUCUGUUUGUUUGUCUGUCCGUUUGUCUUCCAUGCACCCUCACUCUCUUCCUCUCCCCUUCAUCCUCCUCCAGCCUUUUAGUCCAUCCCUCUCUUCCUGUCCCCUUCCUCCUCCAUCCCUCUCUUCCUCUCCCCUUCCUCCUCCAUCGCUCUCUUCCUCUCCCCUUCCUCCUCCAUCCCUCUCUUCCUCUCCCCUUCCUCCUCCAUCCCUCUCUUUCUGUCCCCUUCCUCCUCCAUCCCUCUCUUUCUGUCCCCUUCCUCCUCCAUCCCCCUCUUCCUCUCCCCUUCCUCCUCCAUCCCUCUCUUUCUGUCCCCUUCCUCCUCCAUCCCUCUCUUUCUGUCCCCUUCCUCCUCCAUCCCCCUCUUCCUCUCCCCUUCCUCCUCCAUCCCUCUCUUCCUCCCCCUUCCUCCUCCAUCCCCCUCUUCCUCUCCCCGUCCUCCUCCAUCCCUCUCUUCCUCUCCCCUUCCUCCUCCAUCCCUCUCUUCCUCUCCCCGUCCUCCUCCAUCCCUCUCUUCCUCUCCCCUUCCUCCUCCAUCCCUCUCUUCCUCUCCUCCAAACCCUUGGAUGUUUAGUGUUGUCAAUGGUUUAGCUUCUCUUUCAAAGCGGAAAUAGCAGAAUGUCUAUACAUUCUGACCGGCUAAGAUUUAUAUAUAAAACUGGUAUCUUGAAGCUUAUUGUAUAUAUUAGUAGUCACCAUGGGGAUGACGACACAACAAUGUAAACAAAAAGUAGAAAUAAUACGAAAAAUUGUGAUUCCUGUGUUCUCUCUCUCCAUUUGAGUAUUUUGUAUUUUUUUUUUUCAAAAAUUUGUGGAAUUAAAAUAAACGACUAAGUUACACCACAAGACUUUUGUUAUUGGUUUUAAUUUAGACGUUUCCUGUUGAUAAUGUAGUCUGGAAAAUGUUUUCUUCGUCAUUAUUGGAUACACAUUCAAUCUGGCGGCAGGCACGCUUCAACAACAGCAGCUGUCAUUUAGAGAAGCGAUUAUUUCUCUAGAGCCGACUGAAUGUUACUCUGGAGAUCAUGUGAAUCCAGACUGAAUGUUAAUCUGGAGAUAAUGUGAAUCCAGACUGAAUGUUACUCUGGAGAUAAUGUGAAUCCAGACUGAAUGUUAAUCUGGAGAUAAUGUGAAUCCAGACUGAAUGUUAAUCUGGAGAUAAUGUGAAUCCAGACUGAAUGUUAAUCUGGAGAUAAUGUGAAUCCAGACUGAAUGUUAAUCUGGAGAUAAUGUGAAUCCAGACUGAAUGUUAAUCUGGAGAUAAUGUGAAUCCAGACUGAAUGUUACUCUGGAGAUAAUGUGAAUCCAGACUGAAUGUUACUCUGGCGAUAAUGUGAAUCCAGACUGAAUGUUACUCUGGAGAUAAUGUAGCCUGGUGAAUCCAGGCUGAAUGUUACUCUGGAGAUAAUGUGAAUCCAGACUGAAUGUUACUCUGGAGCUAAUGUGAAUCCAGACUGAAUGUUACUCUGGAGAUAAUGUGAAUCCAGACUGAAUUUUACUCCAGAGAUAAUGUAACCUGUUGAAUCCAGACUGAACGUUACUCCAGAGAUAAUGUAGCUAGUUGAAUCCAGGUUGAACGUUACUCCAGCGGUGAUGUAGCCUGGUGAAUCCAGGCUGAACGUUACUCCAGAGAUAAUGUAGCUCGGUGAAUCCAGACUGAAUGUUACUCCAGAGGUAAUGUAGCCUGGUGAAUCAGGACUGAAUGUUACUCCAGAGGUAAUGUAGCCUGGUGAAUCCAGACUGAAUGUUACUCCGUAGAUAAUGUAGCCUGGUGAAUACAGACUGAAUGUUACUCCAGAGGUAAUGUAGCCUGGUGAAUCCAGACUGAAUGUUACUCCGUAGAUAAUGUAGCCUGGUGAAUACAGA
rnacentral:lncRNA from 1 species